GACGAACGCUGGCGGUGUGCCUAACACAUGCAAGUCGAACGGCAAGGCCCUGCUUUUGUGGGGUGCUCGAGUGGCGAACGGGUGAGUAACACGUGUGUAACCUGCCCUUGACUUUGGUAUAAGUUCAGGAAACUGGGGCUAAUACCGGAUCGGAUCUCCUGCUCCAUGGUGGGGGUUGGAAAUUUUCUGCGGUCGGGGAUGGACUGGCGGCUUAUCAGCUUGUUGGUGGGGUAGUUGCUUACCGACUCUGUGACGGGUAGCCGGCCUGUGAGGGUGACCGGGCACCAGAGUACUGCGAGAGGGAGCAGAGUCCUACGUGAGGCAGCAGGGGGAAGUAUUGCACAACGAGACGAAGCCUGAUGCAGAGACGCUGCGUUCGGGAUGACCGCCUGUGGGUAGAGAACAGCUUCCGCUUGUGACGAAGCGUUACUGACGGUAAUGGGUAAAGAAGCACCGGCUAACUACGUG
rnacentral:rRNA from 1 species